UUGAUAAGCUUUGAAAUACAAGCAAGUCUGUUGUUGGGCUAAAUGCUGCUUUUAGAAAUCCUUAAUGCCCUGGACUACAUUUGAGAAGCUUGAUAAAUAAAUUGUCACAUGGAUAGCUCAGACCCCUCGUGGACCUGAUGUUUGUCCCCUGACCUGAUGGAGGCACCUCAGUUCCCUGAAGGAGAGGAGGAAAAUCGGUGUGAAAGGUGGGUCUGCUGGUACUAACUGGACUCCUCCUCCCAACCAGAGUUGAUGUCUUCCUCCGGCAGGAGCACAUCAUAUCCCACCCAAAGCUCUGCUCCUAAUUCCUCUUCAGUAGAGAGAAAUCAAGGCGGUGGAGGAUGCUCAUUGGCUGGCAAGGGAUGGUACAAAGGGAUUUACAGUUUCCAUCCUUCAUGUCAGACAUCCAGAGGUUCAAGAGAGAGAUGUCAAGAAGCUGAGGAACUGGAGACAGAAGCUGAAAGCUGGAGCUUCUGGCCGCAAGCCAGAAUUUAGACUUCUGAAUUUGCUGCUGCUUUCUUUGUCUCCAACACGAGAACACACAUUAGCAAGUUCUUCUGUUAAGAUUUGAGGGCUCUUCUGCAGGCAGCAUUGAUGGUACUUCUCUAGCAACUUGAGAUGUCUCUUGUAUGUUGUCCACAGCUCAGCUCCAUACAGUAAGGUGGGGAUUAUGACUGCUUGAUAAACCAUGAGCUUGGUUUCAGAUCUAGUAUCGUGAUCCUCGAACACCUGUUUCCUCAGGCAUCAAAACCAUCUCCUUUCACUUGCUGAAGAGCUGCUCCUAGAAUCUCAAUGUGGGCGUAGGGCAUCAAGAGGCACAACUGACACGAUCUUCAUGGCUCACCGGCUACAGGAAAAAUGUCGAGAACAACAUAAACCUCUUUACAUUAUCUCUACAAAAACGUUCAACUCUGUCAGCCAAGAAGUGCUGUGGAGGAUCCUUCUGAAGUACAGAUGCACACUGAAAUUCAUCACUAUUCUUUGCCUGCUCCAUAAUAGCAUGCAAGAGGUGGUUCUCAGUAACAGAUUUGUCAUAGAUCCCUUUGAGGUUACGAUGGGAGCUAAGCAAGGCUGCAUUAUCGCUCCAAUACUUACCGCAAUCCUGCAUUCGGCCACCAACUAACUUCUUCCAGCUGGAGUGGAGCUAAACUACCAAACGGAUGGUAAACUGUUUAAUCUCAGCCAACUCUGAGCCAAAACCAAGAUGACCCUGAUUUUUAGUCAUUGAGCUCCAGUACACUGAUUAUACUGUAGUGUGUGCUCACUUGGAAGCAGACCUUCAGGCAAUCGCCGAUAUCUUUACCGAGGCACAUAAGAAAAUGGGACUGGCGCUUAACAUUCAGAAGACUAAGGCCCUUCAUUGACAAACUGUUACUAGCAGCCCCCAGCUCCAGUAGUUCAGAUUCAUGUUGACACUCAGAUGUGCAAGUGCAUAGACUAAUUCAAUCAGAGAUGUACAGCAUAAGCUUUCAUAAGCAGAGGGCUUACUUCAUCAGAUGCUAUAAAGAGACACUUAAAAUUUUACUAGGUGAGAUGAAAAGCAAAGCCCUUCUUGCAGAUGGAUUUGGUGCAGCUUACUCUGCAGGGCACCAGAAGAAAAAGAGGUAUUUUCUCUGGACUAUAUCAUAUUUCAAUGUUAGAGAUAGGGAGAUGGAGACAUAGCAGGACAAAGGCCUUAUUUUUCACAAUUGUUUGCCUGAAGUUGGUCUUGUCAUUUUAGGUAGGUGCCUAAAUACCCGGGUUUCACAACUACAUCUGCCUUUGUCAUGGUGUCCUUUUUAGUUUUGAUUAACUUUAGGUGUAUGUGUGUGUAAGUGAAAGAGGACUGUUUCUAAUAAAUGCUGAUAGUCUGGUUCACUGCAGACUAUAUUUUGUAAAGAGUCAAAAUGCGUAUUAGAAGGAUUCAAGGUUUUUCCAUACAACUAGUCAUGUCCAUAGACCGGCAGAACUAUCACUGAUAUUUCCCCAUAAGAAAAAAUGUUCUAUUCUCCCAGUUUCAUUUGAAAGCUUGGAGAAUUUCAAUUCCUUCCCAAUGGUCUAUCCUAGUGGCCUGUUUAUGAUUAUCUGGCUCCAUCUAAUAUCGGAUAAUCUUACCAUGGAGAAGUGUACUGCCUUGACCACAUGGUUAUUUAAAAAAAAAAUGUUGUUAAAUGAAUAACGUUUCUUGUUCUUAUUCAAAUAAGUAUGCCCUGAAAUGUGGAAUUUUGUCAGUUUUGGGUCUCUGUGGCAGUGCACUGUGUGUGCCUGCCACUUGCAACCAGUGGGUUGCGUAGCCCCGGUGUGAGGGGGUGGUAGUGUGAGAGGCCCCAGUGUGAAGGGGGCCAGCGACGAGGAGCCCGGGAGGGGCCGUACAUCAAGCCCGGUAGAAGGCCAGCACAACAAUAGGCCUCGAGGGGGCAGGGUCCUGCGGUGGUCAGCCCGAAGGGGAGAGUACCCUCGACUGGCCCAAGCUGGGGCCAGGACCAGGAUGGUCAAAAGGGCCAGGGGCCCACCGCGAGGGACGCCCAAGAGCCAGGGGCCUGGGGUCCCGACUGGCCUUGAGGUGGGCCAGGGCAAGAGGCCGAAGGUUCCGGGGGAACCACGCCCGAGAGGGGAAGAUAGCUUCGGGAAAGGGGAUAGUAGGAUGGUGAGCCCAGUUAAGAGGAUAGCAGUGCGUGGGGCCUAAAAGACCGGAGGCUCGAGAACAUGGGGAGC